rnacentral:rRNA from 1 species
AUUGAACGCUGGCGGCAUGCCUUACACAUGCAAGUCGAACGGUAACAGGUCUUCGGAUGCUGACGAGUGGCGAACGGGUGAGUAAUACAUCGGAACGUGCCUAGUAGUGGGGGAUAACUACUCGAAAGAGUGGCUAAUACCGCAUGAGAUCUACGGAUGAAAGCAGGGGAUCGCAAGACCUUGUGCUACUAGAGCGGCCGAUGGCAGAUUAGGUAGUUGGUGGGAUAAAAGCUUACCAAACCGACGAUCUGUAGCUGGUCUGAGAGGACGAUCAGCCACACUGGGACUGAGACACGACCCAGACUCCUACGGGAGGCAGCAGUGGGGAAUUUUGGACAAUGGGCGAAAGCCUGAUCCAGCAAUGCCGCGUGCAGGAUGAAGGCCUUCGGGUUAUAAACUGCUUUUGUACGGAACGAAAAGCCCCGGGUUAAUACCCUGGGGUCAUGACGGUACCGUAAGAAUAAGCACCGGCUAACUACGUGCCAGCAGCCGCAGUAA